rnacentral:rRNA from 1 species
GACGAACGCUGGCGGCGUGCUUAACACACGCAAGUCGAACGGAAAGGCCCUGCUUUUGUGGGGUGCUCGAGUGGCGAACGGGUGAGUAACACGUGAGUAACCUGCCCUUGACUUUGGGAUAACUUCAGGAAACUGGGGCUAAUACCGGAUAGGAGCUCCUGCUGCAUGGUGGGGGUUGGAAAGUUUCGGCGGUUGGGGAUGGACUCGCGGCUUAUCAGCUUGUUGGUGGGGUAGUGGCUUACCAAGGCUUUGACGGGUAGCCGGCCUGAGAGGGUGACCGGCCACAUUGGGACUGAGAUACGGCCCAGACUCCUACGGGAGGCAACAGUGGGGAAUAUUGCACAAUGGGCGGAAGCCUGAUGCAGCAACGCCGCGUGCGGGAUGACGGCCUUCGGGUUGUAAACCGCUUUCGCCUGUGACGAAGCGUGAGUGACGGUAAUGGGUAAAGAAGCACCGGCUAACUACGUG